rnacentral:RNase_P_RNA from 1 species
CGGGUCGGUCGGGCGAUCGCGUCGUUCAUCGGUAGUGCCGCGGUUUCGCGGUCACCCGGUGGCCGCCGAGGAAAGUCCGGACUCCACAGGGCAGCGUGGUGGGUAACGCCCACCCGGGGCAACCCGCGGGACAGUGCCACAGAGAACAGACCGCCAGCGGCUUCGAUGGACCCCGUGGUUCAUCGGAGUGCGGGUGAGGGUGAAACGGUGGUGUAAGAGACCACCAGCUCCCCAGGUGACUGGGGAGGCUCGGUAAACCCCACGUGGAGCAAGGCCAAGAGGGCGGCGGGCAACCGCCGCCUGCGCGAGCGUUCGAGGGCUGCCCGCCCGAGCUCGCGGGUAGGCCGCUAGAGGUGCCCGGCAACGGACACCGUAGAUAGAUGAUCGCCGACCACAGAAUCCGGCUUAAAGACCGGCCCGUUCA